rnacentral:rRNA from 1 species
GACGGAGGAUGCAAGCGUUAUCCGGAAUGAUUGGGCGUAAAGCGUCCGCAGGUGGCAGUUCAAGUCUGCUGUCAAAGACCGGGGCUUAACUUCGGAAAGGCAGUGGAAACUGAACAGCUAGAGUAUGGUAGGGGCAGAGGGAAUUCCUGGUGUAGCGGUGAAAUGCGCAGAUAUCAGGGAGGAACGACCGGUGGCGGAAGGCGGGGUCUCUGGGCAGUAA